rnacentral:rRNA from 1 species
UGCGGCGUGCUUACCAUGCAAGUCGAGCGGAAAGGCCCUUCGUGGUACUCGAGCGGCGAACGGGUGAGUAACACGUGAGCAACCUGCCCCAUGCUUUGGGAUAACCCUCGGAAACGGGGGCUAAUACCGAAUAUUCACUGCUGAUCGCAUGUUUGGUGGUGGAAAGUUUUUCGGCGUGGGAUGGGCUCGCGGCCUAUCAGCUUGUUGGUGGGGUGAUGGCCUACCAAGGCGACGACGGGUAGCCGGCCUGAGAGGGCGACCGGCCACACUGGGACUGAGACACGGCCCAGACUCCUACGGGAGGCAGCAGUGGGGAAUAUUGCACAAUGGGCGGAAGCCUGAUGCAACGACGCCGCGUGAGGGAUGACGGCCUUCGGGUUGUAAACCUCUUUCAGCAAGGACAAAGCGCAAGUGACGGUACCUGCUUAAGAAGCGCCGGCCAACUACGUACCAGCAUCCCCGGCUAC